GUCCUACGGGAGGCAGCAGUGAGGAAUAUUGGUCAAUGGGCGAGAGCCUGAACCAGCCAAGUCGCGUGAAGGAUGACGGCCCUACGGGUUGCAAACUUCUUUUGUCAGGGAGCAAUUGAGUCCACGUGUGGUCUUAGCGAGAGUACCUGAAGAAAAAGCAUCGGCUAACUCCGUGCCAGCAGCCGCGGUAAUACGGAGGAUGCGAGCGUUAUCCGGAUUUAUUGGGUUUAAAGGGUGCGUAGGCGGAAUAUCAAGUCAGCGGUAAAAAUUCGGGGCUCAACCCCGUCGUGCCGUUGAAACUGAUG
rnacentral:rRNA from 1 species